CCUCUCAUGGCGUAGUGGUAACGCGCCCCAACUAGAGAUUGGGGAGUCGUGAUCGUGAGUUCGAUUCUCACUGAGAAGA
rnacentral:tRNA from 1 species